GACGAACGCUGGCGGCGUGCUUAACACAUGCAAGUCGAACGGUGAAGCGAGUGCUUGCACUCGUGGAUCAGUGGCGAACGGGUGAGUAACACGUGAGUAACCUGCCCAUCACUCUGGGAUAAGCACUGGAAUCGGUGUCUAAUACUGGAUACGACCAACCCUUGCAUGGGGUGUUGGUGGAAAGAUUUAUCGGUGAUGGAUGGACUCGCGGCCUAUCAGCUUGUUGGCGGGGUAAUGGCCCACCAAGGCGACGACGGGUAGCCGGCCUGAGAGGGUGACCGGCCACACUGGGACUGAGACACGGCCCAGACUCCUACGGGAGGCAGCAGUGGGGAAUAUUGCACAAUGGGCGAAAGCCUGAUGCAGCGACGCCGCGUGAGGGAUGGCGGCCUUCGGGUUGUAAACCUCUUUCAGCAGGGAAGAAGCGAAAGUGACGGUACCUGCAGAAGAAGCACCGGCUAACUACGUG
rnacentral:rRNA from 1 species